UACGGGGGGGGCAAGCGUUGUUCGGAAUUACUGGGCGUAAAGGCUCGUAGGCGGCCAACUAAGUCAGACGUGAAAUCCCUCGGCUUAACCGGGGAACUGCGUCUGAUACUGGAUGGCUCGAGUUUGGGAGAGGGAUGCGGAAUUCCAGGUGUAGCGGUGAAAUGCGUAGAUAUCUGGAGGAACACCGGUGGCGAAGGCGGCAUCCUGGACCAACACUGACGCUGAGGAGCGAAAGCCAGGGAGCAAACGGG
rnacentral:rRNA from 1 species